UUUCGUUUUUUCACUGACCAAUACCAUAAGUUCCGGUCCAAACCAGCUGGAGUACUUCUUUGGUACUUCGAUAUUUUAUGGUGGGACUUGUAAUGCUUUCUUUGGUCAGUUGGUUAUGCAAAUAGUCUCCUCUGAAACACAAUACAAACGCCGCCUUUAAAACCGUUGCAAACCCAAAAAAUAACGAUAAAUGAAGUUAAAAAAGUGAUUUGGUUGUAUGAACAUAUACAACAAAAAGAUCCGGAUGGCAUGACAAGAAAUUAAAAAGUAUUUUGUUGAAUAGACUAAUACAGCAGGCAUAUAGCAUAUAGCGCACUGUCCUAGGGAUGUGAUUUUGUUAUAUUAAAUAUUAGGGUAUUUAUAAAACAAAAAAGGUAGUUAAUAAAUUUCUGAGAAACCCAUCUUGUGACGCCCGCUCCGUCCGCUCCUCGUAUGUGCCACGCCCCCUAAUUACCCACGUGUGAUUCCCUGAUUGUGCCCAGUCGCGUCAUGUUCUUUUCUGAUUAGUUCCCUGUAUUUAAGUCUCUGUUGUACACUAACCCGUUGUCUGUCAUUGAUGUUACCCGGUGUUUGUCGACCUGCCUUGAAUAAACCCCUGUCUGCCCCGAUUUCUGCCUGCCUGCCUGCCUGCCUGCCUGCUUGCCUGCCUGCCUGCCUGAGGAUCGCUCGCACUUCCUGAGCGAUCUUCCGUCCUGCUCGCCCGUGACACAUCUAGGAAUGCUUUAAACAAGGAUGAAAAUGAUUGAUUGUCUCGGAGAACACAUGCAGCGCUCACGCAAAGGCAGGGGAGGUGUGUAAAAUCAAGCAACUAGCCAUGCAGUCAGGUUUACAAACAUUUGUCAAAGAAUGGGUCAUUCUGAAGAGCUCGGUGAGUUAAAGCAUGUUAUUGUCAUAGGAUGCCACCUUGCAAUAUGUUCGUUUUUGAAAUUUCCUCGUUUCAUAUUCCACAGUAAACUGUAUGUCAUGUUAUUGCAAAGAGGAAGCAUUUAUGAACAACAGAAACUCAGCUCUGAAGUGGCAGACAAUGUAAAGUAACAGGGUCGCUGGGAGCUGAGCACAUAGUGAGUAAAAGUCACCAAUGUUGACUCAAUAACUGCACAGUCCCAAACUUCCUCUGGCAUUAACUCCAGCACAAAAUCUAUUUGCUGGGAGCUUCAUGGGAUGGGCUUCCAUGGCCGAGCAGCUGCAUGCAAGCCUCACAUCACCAAGUGCAAUACCAAGCAUCAGAUGGAGAGGUGUAAAGCACGCUGCCAAUGGACUCUGGAGUAAUGGAAACAUUUUCUGUGGAAUGAGAAAUCACAUUUUACUGUCUGGCAGUCUAAUGGGUGAGUCUGGCUUUGGUGGAUGCCUGGUGAAUGUUACCUGUCCGACUGCAUUGUGCCAACUGUAAAGUUUGGUGGAGAAGGGAUAAUAGUAGGGCGUUGUUUCUCAGGGGCUGUGCUAGGCCCCUUAGUUCCACUGAAGGGAACUCUUAAUGCUUCAUUAUAUCUACAUGUUGUGGCCAACUUUGUGGGAACAGUUUGAGGAAGGCCCUUUUCUGUUCCAGCAUGACUGCCCCAGAGCACAAAGCAACGUUCAUUAAAACAUGGUUCUGUAGUUCUACCCCCCAGAUGCUAGAUGGCGUCUAGUUAUCUAAUCAUAAUUGCCCAUUAUGCUGUGCUCCUCGUGGGAAGUCUGUGUUCAUAUGUUUGGCAGAAGGUAAGGAGUGGUUCUUUUCAUCUAGUGAAAAUGUACUAUUGUUUUAAGUCAUCCAAUUGAAAAUAUGUUUCCAAGAUGUUUUAUGAUGCAGUAGCGAUGUGUUUCAAAACAUUGUACUACUCAAUAUGUUUUAUUUGCGGUAAUUCAUUUUAAUAUCUGCUUUAAGUAUUGGAUAUGGAACAGAUGUUUAUUGAAAUUUAGUACAGUUUUUUAAUCUAAAAGUUUUAUGCUUCUAAUAUCUAAAGACCGUGACAGAGUUUUGAUGUGUUUGGCACAAGUAAUAAACCGUAGAUUCAGCGAAGCGACAGGAAAAUGAAUCUUCCCGUGUGUCUGGUUGUCCCUUUGUCCUCUAGGAACUCUACAAAAGCCCCCUCGCGCAUAUGAAAAGACAGCGCCAGCAACUGCCUAUCACGAUGUUCUUCAGCCACGCACCCAGACACUCACUGCCUACGCCUAGUACUCCUUCAGCAGAAGAAGAUGACAACGCACCUGCUGAAGAUACUGCACCACCUGAAGACUCUCCUGCUGAAGUCGUGCCUUCAGAGGAGCCGUAACCUUGCUCUUCUUUGCUGUGCAGUAGAUCUCUUCAUUGCUUCAUCAUCGAACAAGUCGCAUUAUUUUCAUAGGUUAGUGGUUAUGUGUAAGAACUGUUUGCGUAAUUAUAUGUACAAUAAUAUAUUUGUAAUCUCUGUCUUAUUUUCUCUUUUGUGUAAUAUAUUGGGUAAUACAAGUGUAAUGGUGACUAAAGGGUGUUUCAUGUCUAGAGGGCUCUAAUGUUAAACGUAUUUAGAAAGUUAGUUUCUAUGCUCUAACUAUGAAAAUAUUCGAUUUAUAAAAAAAGAAUCCAACUUCACGGAAAUUCACUUAUCACGGUACAGUCUGGAACUGAUUAAGUGCUAUAAACGAAGGCCGACUGUAUACAGAUAUGAAGGUAUUACACUGUAGUUUUAAGAAACCAAAGGUGCUGUUAUAAUAGUGCAGAAGGGUCAGUCAGUCACAGAAGCAUUCAGUGUUAAAGAGGGUACCAUCAGUAGCAGGUGGGUCUGAGUCUGUGUGGUUGAGUGGGCAUGUAUGGUUCUGAUGGCAAAAGACCGAACAGACCAUAUUCGAGGUGGGUGAGGUCAAAGGUGAUCUUGAGGCCUCUCUGGAGGCAGUGGUCAUUGUAAAUGUUCUCAUACAUGCACUGCUUCUCUAAAGAAUUCACCACGAACAAAUGGGUGUGUUGAUCACCAGUCUAUCAUGCAACUGGCACAAAAACCAAAGAAUACAAACAGCCAUGAAAUUUUCUGUCAGGAUGGGCUGAUGCUGCAAUUGUCCCACGGAUUCAAGGAACAAUAAGAGACUCAGCUGUCUUUGAUCAAAUUAGAAACCAGAUACGUGUCCACAAUGUAAUUGGAACUAAGGCACAGGUGAGCAGCAAGCAUUUUUGAUGUGGUAUAAACAAAACACUGUGAUUCCCAAAGUGUACUUUUUGCAUCAUGUCCUUCCUGCUGUAUGCUCUACCCAAGCACCACCCCUCGUCAAUACUAACCAGAGAAUUCCUAGUAGGUAUGGUGUCAGACAUAGACAAUCUCAGGUUGUAUGACACAUGCAUGAAAGGGCAACUCCCAAAAAUGUCUAGAUCUGAUUCUCCAGACAAAGUUUGGAGUUCUUGCUUGAAAAUGACAUGUCUGGCAGAUAUAACCCAAAUGAGAACAGGACAAGGCAGAUAGAGAUAGAUCCUGACACUAUAAUUUUAUAAAGUUUCAUGUAGCUGUUUGUGCUGGGGUAUUCUUUAUAAGAAAACUGGCUAACAGACAGGAAGCAGUGAGUAGUUAUUAGAGGCACAAUGUCACAGUGGGCCUGCAUUCAUAGUGGGGUACCGCAGGGUUCAAUUUUAGGACCACUAUUGUUCCUAAUUUACAUUAAUUAUAUUGACACCAAUACAUACAGUAAACUGGUUAAAUUUGCAAAUGACACCAAGGUGGGUGGUGUAGCAGAUACUGAUCUAGCAGCAGAGAGGUUACAACGGGAUCUUGAUUUAAUUAGUGUUUGGGCUGAUACCUGGAAGAUGAAAUUUAAUGUAGAUAAAUGCAAGGCAAUGCAUGCAGGGAGCAGAAAUAUAAAGUACAGAUAUUUUAUGGGUUCCACUAAAAUAAAGGUAGCUGAUUAUGAGAAAGACCUUGGUGUGUAUGUUGAUGCUUCCAUGUCCCACUCUUGCCAGCAUGGGGAAGCAAUUAAAAAGGCCAAUAGGAUGUUCAGUUACAUCUCUAGGUGUGUGGAGUGUAGGUCAAAGGAGGUGAUACUACGAUUAUACAAUUCCUUGGUAAGACCACACCUAGAAUAUUGUGUGCAGCUUUGGUUACCAUACCUUAAAAAGGACAUUGCUGCCUUGGAAAGAGGGCAACGUAGGGCUACGAGGUGGAGAGGUUAGCUGAACUGAAUCUGUUCAGCCCCAUGCAAAGGAGAUUAAGAGGGGACAUGAUCCAGAUAUAUAAGAUUCUAACAGGUCUGGAUGCUGUUCAGCCAAAUGGGUACUUCAAUAUUAGUUUAAAUACUAAAACUCAUGAUCAUAGGUGGAAAUUAUCUGGAGAACAUUUUAAAAUUAAUUUGAGAAAGCACUUGUUUGCACAGUGUGUAGUUAGAGUAUGGACUUCCUGCUAGUGUAACACAAGCUAAAACCCUGGGUUCCUUUAAAUCAGAGCUAGAUAAGAGAUAUCUAGAAUCUAGAUAAGAUUUUAAUAUCUCUGAGCUAUUAGUUGAGUUCUCCCCAAAUGAGCUUGAUGGGCCGAAUGGCCUCCUCUCGUUUGUGAAUUUCUUAUGUUCUUAUUAAUAAUCUAGUAAUAAACAUGCAUCCAAGUCUUGUAAUCUGAAUUAUUUACAACUGAAAAUUGACCAAUUUUCUUUGUCAGUAAGGCACAAUAGUGCCUUUAUUUCCUGAGGAGGAAGAUCUGUCACAACAACUCUUGGUAAACUUCUAUAGGAGCACCACAGAGAGAUCACAUCAUAGCCUCCAACUCCAUUUAUUCUGCCACUGAAUGAAAAGCUUCUGACAGACCACAUUACAGCCUCCAACUGAAGAUGUUCUGCUGCUGAACGAAAAGUACUGAAGCGCAUAGUCAAGACAGUAUUGACUAGCGGAGGUCCUCAUUAUUGCUUUCAACAUUGGCUAGAGGAGGCUUUAGGUAUUAACUUCAGCAUCAUCUAGCGGAGGCUCUUGGUAUUAGCUUCAGCGUCAGGUAGCAGAGGCUCUCGGAAUUAGCUUCAGCAUCAACUAGCGGAGACUAGUUAUUAGGUUCAACAUCAGCUAGCAAAGGCUCUCGUUAUUAGCAUCAGCAUCAGCUAGCAGAUGGUCUCUAUGAGCUUCAGCAUUGAGUAACUGAUUCUGCCAGUAUUAGCGUCAGCAUCGGUCAGCAGAGGCUCUUGCUAUUAGCUUCAGCAUUGGUUAGCAGAAGCUCCUGGUAUGAGCUUCAGCAUUGGCUAGUGUAAGCUCAUAGUAUUAGCUUCAGCUUUGGCUAAUGAAUGUAAUAGCUUCACUGUCAGCUAGCAGAGGCUUUGCACAAAUAUAAUGGAAGUGAUUUUUUUCACGCUAGUGUGAUCGUAUCUUUAGUGCGAUGCGUCACCAUGGUAACUCAUGUUACACACCUAACCUGCUUUGGAAUACAUAAUCUGUCAAACCUGUUGUGAUCCUGUUCAGCCAGCAGAAGUCUCUGCUAGCCAUCCUGUUAUUUUCUCCUUCUGUUUCCCAAUUACUGUCACCUGUUUCUUUUUUUUAUUCCACAUGAUUCCUAGUGUUUGGUGUAUUGCUCAUUGUUUUCCAGUGUAUACCAUGUAUGUAAGUUCUUCCCCAAAUCAUGUUCCUCAGUUGGUCUUCAUCAGUGCUCAGUACCAGUCCCCAUGGUCUGUGGUUGCAUUUAGUGUUAUAGUUUUCCUUUAGCCUUCUCAGUGUUUAGACCAGCCCUUGUCCCCUCUGACCUUAACCUCCCUGCCUCCUGUAUUGAUCCCUGGAGGUCUAGUGGUUAGAAUUCAAUGCUCUUACUGCCACAACCUGGUGUUCAGUUCCCGAACAAGGAACCAAGACACUACAUGCACCAGAUCAGGAAAAACAAACAUGAGACCUUAGCGAGACCCAGGGAAUUAGAACAAAGGGGACAGGGCAUGGACCACAGAAGAAGCAGGACAGUCAAGUUGGAAGGUCAACAUCAAGGGUCAGGGCAAACAGGACAAGGAGCAGAACUGGGACCAAGACCUGGGGUCUCAGAGGGAAAAUGAUGCAGAGGCCCAGAAACAUGGAGCAGGCAUUCCCUCCGUGGCACACCCUUUCCCAUCCCAGUAUCGGACCCAAUGGCUUGUCCUUGUGUGCCCCAUUCUGUCAGUCUGUGUCCACCCAGGUCUGAUCCAGGCCCCAGAUAGCAUGGUUGAUCCUCAAAACAAAUUCUCCGUGGUGUGAGUUAAAAGUGUAGAAAAUACAAUCAUAAAACAGUCAGUGAUGUUAUUAAAUCUCUAACAAUAUAAACACAAGCCAUUAUUGGUCUCAGUGUAGGAGGUGCUCAUUUCUAUCACAUACAAGUAAAAUACAGCAAAUUAUGCCAGAAUUGCAAUGCAUAAAAAAAUGCUAUCAAACAUUUUAUUGUAUAUAUUAAGGCUCUUGGUUUGAUGCAAUCUGGAUAGCACUUUCAGACAGAACGGAGGUUAUUUCAGUAGAAAUUAUCGUAUUAUCUUUUAUCUUCCUAAUGCCUGCAAUGAAUAGGCCUAUUAGACUUUUGCCAUCAGAUAAAGUAGUUUAGUUAAUUGCAAAUUGCUCUGGCUACUGCAACAGUGCAUAUUUUUAAUUGCCAUUUAUAGAUGAUUUGAUUCAAUCCCAUAUUGUUCAAAUCCUCAAACAAUAACCAUAUCCUUUUGGAACUGUUUUAUAUUUAAUUAUAUUAUGUUAAAACAGAUUUUACAAAAAUAAGUGGAUCAUUGUAACAAUAAACAACUUUGAAAUAAAAA